UACGUAGGGACCAAGCGUUGUUCGGAUUUACUGGGCGUAAAGGGCGCGUAGGCGGCGUGUUAAGUCAGCUGUGAAAUCUCCGAGCUUAACCCGGAAAGGUCAGCCGAUACUGCGGGGCUAGAGUGCAGAAGGGGCAACUGGAAUUCUCGGUGUAGCGGUGAAAUGCGUAGAUAUCGAGAGGAACACCUGCGGCGAAGGCGGGUUGCUGGGCUGACACUGACGCUGAAGCGCGAAAGCUAGGGGAGCGAACGGG
rnacentral:rRNA from 1 species